rnacentral:lncRNA from 1 species
CCACGCUUUCUCUCACACAAACACACGCACGCUUUCUUUCAUAAAACACAUGCAACGCUUUCUCUCACACAAACACACACACGAUUUCUCUCACACAAACACACACACGCUUCUCUCACACAAACACACAACAACAGCUUUUCUUUCAUACAACACAUGCACGACUUUCUCUCACACAAACACACACACACGCUUUCUCUCACACAAACACACACACACACGCUUUCUCUCAUACAAAACACGCACGCUUUCUCUCUACACAAACACACCAACGCUUUCUCUCAUACAAACACACGCACCGUUUCUCUCAUACAAACACACGCACGCUUUCUCUCAUACACACACUUUCUCUCAACAAACACACACGCACGCUUUUCUCUCAUACAAACACACGCACGCUUUCUCUCAUACAAACACACACACGCUUUCUCUCAUACAAGACACUUUCUCUCAUACAAACACAC